rnacentral:rRNA from 1 species
UACGUAGGGUGCGAGCGUUGUCCGGAAUUAUUGGGUCGUAAAGAGCUUGUAGGCGGUUUGUCGCGUCUGCUGUGAAAAUCCGGGGCUCAACCCCAGCAUUGCGUUGGAUACUGGCAGGCUUGACGGUUGGAGAGGCAAGUGGAAUUACCAGUGUAGCGGUGGAAUGCGUAGAUACUGGUAGGAACACCCAUUGCGAAGGCAGCUUGCUGGACAACACGUGACGCUGAGGCGCGAAAGUGUGGGGAGCAAACCGGAUUAGAUACCCCCGUA